rnacentral:rRNA from 1 species
UUAGAUGGCGACCGGCGCACGGGUGAGUAACACGUAUCCAACCUGCCGAUGACUCGGGGAUAGCCUUUCGAAAGAAAGAUUAAUACCCGAUGGCAUAGUUCUUCCGCAUGGUGGAACUAUUAAAGAAUUUCGGUCAUCGAUGGGGAUGCGUUCCAUUAGGUUGUUGGCGGGGUAACGGCCCACCAAGCCUUCGAUGGAUAGGGGUUCUGAGAGGAAGGUCCCCCACAUUGGAACUGAGACACGGUCCAAACUCCUACGGGAGGCAGCAUG